rnacentral:tRNA from 1 species
GGGCGGUUAGCUCAGUGGGAGAGCGCGGCGUUCGCAACGCUGAGGUCGGGGGUUCAAAUCCCCUACCGUCCA